CACUCACCAUCAUAGCAGAGGCAGACGGCUCUGCUCACCACCGGCCUCAGUCGACCGCUGUCCUCUGUCGAUAGAUGGCGCUCAACGGAGUCAGAACUCAAGGUCUCGGGGUCUCGCUAAUGCCGGUCCACGCUCGAAAUCGCCAGAUAAGCGGUAUCAGUUCACGCAUGCGCCCCGACCACAACGGGAAAUGAUCCAAGCUCCGAACAGCAAACCCGUGUCUCGCUUCCGUCUCCGGUGAACAAUACAUUCUAUUGAUCGUAUAUUCCCGUAUAGUCUAUUGAUUAUAUUACCGCUAUUGCAUCCCCGCGUGUAUAUUGUGUGACAUGUAUUGGUGCGCGCCAAAUCUCGGGUACUGUGAUGGGUGGACCUUUUAGACACACCUUCGAAAAUUGCGGUCGUUCAAUUUCCAUGAACUCUUCUUCGUACCGGAAUGAAAUUGAAUUUUAUUGGAGUUUUAAUUUGUUUGAUUUGAUCCAAGCACGAUAUAAAUUCUAUGAAGGUUGUUUGGAAAGAAAUAUACUUCGACAAAUUUCUGGUACGUUCGAUCGUUGAUGCUUGGGAUCUUUCAUUCAACUUGAUGUUUCGAACUUUCGUGUGAGAUUGGUUUAAAUUUGCAUUCAUUCGAGAGAGGUCGAUUGCAUAAAAACUCGGUUGCCUGGAACUGAGCAUUCGAGGAGAAUUUCUCAAAAUUGAUUUUUUGGCCAAUCGAAGUGUUAUAAAGUGUGCGAUUAUUUUUUAAAACCAAGGCUUUGAAAUUCCGAUCUAAUUGAUCUACUCGUGAAGUUACAGCAGAUGUUGAGAGGCGAUUCUUUGUUGAAGUGUUUUUUUUGCGACACGGCUGGAGUUUCAAUGGAUGUGCUUUGAGUUUUAAAGUGAUGUAAUACUGCUCGGAACCAACCUAAACGGAUUUUUCAACCUUGCAGUGACUGUCACCCCUGCAGAAUAUGCCAAAACCAUGGUUUUUAUCACAAGCUGGACUGAUUGCUUCGUGCUUCUCAUUGGUUCUCUCUGCUGAGCUAACUUUAAACCUAAAAUCUGACAAGGCAGAAUGGUCCACAGGUGACAUCUCCAGUCAACUUUUUCCGGAGCCAUCCAAUGACCGCUCUCUGAAGACCUGUUGGCCCGUGUGUGGCCCCCUAGACAAUUUGCAGGACCAUGAUGCUCAUAGUUAUCAAAUUUUCACCAAUACUAGUCAUGACAGGUCAAGAAGAGCAGCGCUCCGAUUGAGGACGAUGCGUGGAGCGGAGAGGGUCAGCGCCCCGGAGAUCCCGAUCUUCGGGGCGACAGGUCAGUCCCCUAUAAGUCAUGAAAUUUGAUUCGUAGGUUGUG
rnacentral:lncRNA from 1 species